AUCGCUUCUCGGCAACUUUGUUGCUAAGAUCAAAGUGUAGUAUCUGUUCUUAUCAGCUUAAUAUCUGAUACAGUCCUCAUAGAGGACUCAGAAUAUUAAACUGAUUUUUGAACCUAGGGGAGGUCUGGAGCUUGCUCCGACCACUCCACAGGUCGACUCGGCUUUGCAGUGCUGCUGAGUUUGGCCUAAUAAUA